UUUCCCUGAUUUUAUUCCCUACAGAAUAAAAGAGAGUAACUCAUACCAUUGCUGAAAAUGAUAUAUCCACUAAUGUAAUGCUGCUUGUUUUUACCUUCAGUCAUUCCAAGUAAUAUAAAAUAUACUCCUAAAAUAUAUCUCAUAAUAAAAAGGGCAUGUGAAUGAGAUUAUUGAAAUAUGAACCUGUAAUAGGGGCUUACUUUUAAAGUCUAACAAUGCUGUUUUGAUCUUUGAUUCUAUUUAGUACAUGAUAAAAAUAAGGUGGAAUAAAGAGGAGUGAUGAAAUAUUGUACUGGAUGAAGCAAUAGGAUUCCUACAACAGAAGAUGUUGGAGACAAAAUGGAUCAAAAUGUCCAUAUUCAACAGAAAGACAACAAAUGGUGGUAGCAGUUGUUCUACAGCGCGGGGCCAAACGUGUCCAGGUGUGGAGCAGCUGCUGGGGCCACACAUCAGCCCCUCCAUGUGGGAUUCUUCUUGUGCAUCCCUACAGAGACCUGCACAAUCUGCUAUGAAUCUGCACGUGGCAUGAGCUGCUGGAAAAAGGGGGAAGAGCAUGGGAUGGGGGGGUGGGAAGAUCGGUGUGAUUUUACAGUUUGGUUCCUGGCUGUGGAGUACAAAAUGGGGCUUUUGACCUCUUCCGUACCCCGUAUGGGAACAGCGUGAGAGUCGCGCCCAGCGGCUGCCCCAAAGGCAGGGAAGGCGCAGCCACAGCGCCUGGAGACUCAGCCCAGUGCCGUCCUUCUGAGGAAUUCUUUCUCCACCAUGUGGAAGUAGCAACCCAUAUUGAGCCAAGUAACUAAUAGUAAACUGAGCUAAUUAGUUUAAUGAGCUAAUACAAAGUAGCUACAUCAGAGAGUCUCUCUUUGAUGCUAAUUCCCUCAUGUACGGAGUUCUUUUAUGUCCCGGGCUACUGUUUAAACCACUGGACCAAUUUGCCAGCCUCUGUUAAUUUAAAUCUGUUAUUAAUGAAAGAGAAAGCAUGUGGAUCUGGUUGCAAUAGCAGAAUAUUUGUUUUAUUUCAUCCUGUCACAGCUUUUCCCUCAAGGUUUGUCUCACUGAGAGG
rnacentral:lncRNA from 1 species